rnacentral:rRNA from 1 species
AAUUCCCAGUGUAGCGGUGAAAUGCGUAGAUAUUGGGAAGAACAUCGGUGGCGAAGGCGUGCUACUGGACCGUAACUGACACUCAGGGACGAAAGCUAGGGGAGCGAAAGGGAUUAGAUACCCCUGUAGUCCUAGCUGUAAACGAUGGAAACUAGGUGUGGCUUGUAUCGACCCGAGCCGUGCCGUAGCUAACGCGUUAAGUUUCCCGCCUGGGGAGUACGCACGCAAGUGUGAAACUCAAAGGAAUUGACGGGGGCCCGCACAAGCGGUGGAGUAUGUGGUUUAAUUCGAUGCAACGCGAAGAACCUUACCAGGGCUUGACAUGUCGCGAAUCUCGGUGAAAGCUGAGAGUGCCUUCGGGAGCGCGAACACAGGUGGUGCAUGGCUGUCGUCAGCUCGUGUCGUGAGAUGUUGGGUUAAGUCCCGCAACGAGCGCAACCCUUAUUUUUAGUUGCCAGCAUUAAGAUGGGCACUCUAGAAAGACUGCCGGUGACAAACCGGAGGAAGGUGAGGACGACGUCAAGUCAGCAUGCCCCUUACGCCCUGGGCUACACACGUACUACAAUGGUUGGGACAAAGGGCAGCGACUCCGCAAGGAAUAGCGAAUCUCAUCAAACCCAGCCUCAGUUCAGAUUGCAGGCUGCAACUCGCCUGCAUGAAGGAGGAAUCGCUAGUAAUCGCAGGUCAGCAUACCGCGGUGAAUUCGUUCCCGGGCCUUGUACACACCGCCCGUCACACCAUGGAAGCUGGUCACGCCCGAAGUAGUUACCCUAACCUUUCGAGGAGGGGGAUUCCUAAGGCAGGGCUAGUGACUGGGGUGAAGUCGUAACAAGGUAGCC